rnacentral:rRNA from 1 species
CGCCCUUGAGUUUGAUCAUGGCUCAGAAAAACGCUGGCGGCGUGCCUAAUACAUGCAAGUCGAACGAGGUAGCAAUGCCUAGUGGCGCACGGGUGAGUAACGCGUGGAUAAUCUGCCUUUGAGUGGGGGAUAACUAGUCGAAAGAUUAGCUAAUACCGCAUAAGACCACAGGAACUGAGGUUCUAGGGGUUAAAGGUUUUUCGCUCAUAGAUGAGUCCGCGUGAGAUUAGCUAGUUGGUGAGGUAACGGCUCACCAAGGCGACGAUCUCUAACUGGUCUGAGAGGAUGAUCAGUCACACUGGAACUGAGACACGGUCCAGACUCCUACGGGAGGCAGCAGUAGGGAAUAUUGCACAAUGGAGGAAACUCUGAUGCAGCGACGCCGCGUGAGUGAUGUUUUUUUUCGGGUCGUAAAGCUCUGUCGCAGGGGAAUAACACAAUGAAUGUACCCUGUAAGAAAGGAUCGGCUAACUUCGUGCCAGCAGCCGCGGUAA